AAUCCCGCAGAGCCUGGCUGGAUCAACAACACUUUGUCCUGGGGAAACAUGUAUAGCUAUAUUCGAUCAUGUAAUGUCGCUAUUCAAAACCUCACCGAGCCACAGAUUUCCAAUGACAAUGGAUUGGUGGACCGAUUGAUGGGAGAAGCAAAGUUCAUGAGGGCUUAUUAUAAUCAUCAAUUAUUGAGGUACUACGGCGCAAUCCCUAUCGUGGACAGACCUUAUGGACUAGGUGAAGAAACUUAUGAUGCUGCCAGAAACACUUGGGAAGAAUGUAUCAACUUCAUCGUACAGGACCUGGAUGAUGCGGCAUCACUUCUUGAAG
rnacentral:misc_RNA from 1 species